rnacentral:rRNA from 1 species
GACGAACGCUGGCGGCGUGCUUAACACAUGCAAGUCGAACGGAAAGGCCCUGCUUUUGUGGGGUGCUCGAGUGGCGAACGGGUGAGUAACACGUGAGUAACCUGCCCUUGACUUUGGGAUAACUUCAGGAAACUGGGGCUAAUCUCGGAUAGGAGCUCCUGCUGCAUGGUGGGCGUUGGAUAGUUUCGGCGGUUGGGGAUGGACUCGCGGCUUAUCAGCUUGUUGGUGGGGUAGUGGCUUACCAAGGCUUUGACGGGUAGCCGGCCUGAGAGGGUGACCGGCCACAUUGGGACUGAGAUACGGCCCAGACGCCUACGGGAGGCAGCAGUGGGGAAUAUUGCACAAUGGGCGGAAGCCUGAUGCAGCAACGCCGCGUGCGGGAUGACGGCCUUCGGGUUGUAAACCGCUUUCGCCUGUGACGAAGCGUGAGUGACGGUAAUGGGUAAAGAAGCACCGGCUAACUACGUG